GCGUGCUUAACACAUGCAAGUCGAACGGAAAGGCCCUGCUUUUGUGGGGUGCUCGAGUGGCGAACGGGUGAGUAACACGUGAGUAACCUGCCCUUGACUUUGGGAUAACUUCAGGAAACUGGGGCUAAUACCGGAUAGGAGCUCCUGCUGCAUGGUGGGGGUUGGAAAGUUUCGGCGGUUGGGGAUGGACUCGCGGCUUAUCAGCUUGUUGGUGGGGUAGUGGCUUACCAAGGCUUUGACGGGUAGCCGGCCUGAGAGGGUGACCGGCCACAUUGGGACUGAGAUACGGCCCAGACUCCUACGGGAGGCAGCAGUGGGGAAUAUUGCACAAUGGGCGGAAGCCUGAUGCAGCAACGCCGCGUGCGGGAUGACGGCCUUCGGGUUGUAAACCGCUUUCGCCUGUGACGAAGCGUGAGUGACGGUAAUGGGUAAAGAAGCACCGGCUAACUACGUGCCAGCAGCCGCGGUGAUACGUAGGGUGCGAGCGUUGUCCGGAUUUAUUGGGCGUAAAGGGCUCGUAGGUGGUUGAUCGCGUCGGAAGUGUAAUCUUGGGGCUUAACCCUGAGCGUGCUUUCGAUACGGGUUGACUUGAGGAAGGUAGGGGAGAAUGGAAUUCNNUGGUGGAGCGGUGGAAUGCGCAGAUAUCAGGAGGAACACCAGUGGCGAAGGCGGUUCUCUGGGCCUUUCCUGACGCUGAGGAGCGAAAGCGUGGGGAGCGAACGGGCUUAGAUACCCUGGUAGUCCACGCUGUAAACGGUGGGUACUAGGUGUGGGGUCCAUUCCACGGGUUCCGUGCCGUAGCUAACGCUUUAAGUACCCCGCCUGGGGAGUACGGCCGCAAGGCUAAAACUCAAAGGAAUUGACGGGGCCCCGCACAAGCGGCGGAGCAUGCGGAUUAAUUCGAUGCAACGCGUAGAACCUUACCUGGGUUUGACAUGGAUCGGGAGUGCUCAGAGAUGGGUGUGCCUCUUUUGGGGUCGGUUCACAGGUGGUGCAUGGCUGUCGUCAGCUCGUGUCGUGAGAUGUUGGGUUAAGUCCCGCAACGAGCGCAACCCUUGUUCACUGUUGCCAGCACGUUAUGGUGGGGACUCAGUGGAGACCGCCGGGGUCAACUCGGAGGAAGGUGGGGAUGACGUCAAGUCAUCAUGCCCCUUAUGUCCAGGGCUUCACGCAUGCUACAAUGGCUGGUACAGAGAGUGGCGAGCCUGUGAGGGUGAGCGAAUCUCGGAAAGCCGGUCUCAGUUCGGAUUGGGGUCUGCAACUCGACCUCAUGAAGUCGGAGUCGCUAGUAAUCGCAGAUCAGCAACGCUGCGGUGAAUACGUUCCCGGGGCUUGUACACACCGCCCGUCAAGUCAUGAAAGUUGGUAACACCCGAAGCCGGUGGCCUAACCGUUGUGGGGGAGCCGUCGAAGGUGGGACUGGUGAUUAGGACUAAGUCGUA
rnacentral:rRNA from 1 species